rnacentral:rRNA from 1 species
CCCCGUCACAUCAUGAAAGCCGGUUGUACCCGAAGUCCACAAGCAAACUCGCAAGAGGCGCAGUGGCCGAAGGUAUGGCUGGUGAUUGGGAUG